UAACAAAUUACAAUUUGCCUUAAUCUCCACACAGUAAAUGACUUGUAUGUGUUAAUGUUAAUGUACCACACACAGUUGCUUUCAAGUUCAACAAUAUGAAGUACUUUGCAUUCGACUGUAUUUAAUGGCUUAAUUAACACAUAUCAAGUGGUAACAAUGUAUUAUAUUGUGCAAAUAUUGUUAAAUUAUAUGAGGAUGAAAUUUUGCGAGAAAUGGUUGCAACAUAGAAGCACACUUUGUCAAAUGGUUUACGUUCAUAUUUGUACAACAUACUGGCACAUGUGCAUUCAACUACAUUUUACUACUGUUGUACAGUAUGAUAAACAGUUUCACACAUUGGUAUUUGUGAGCGGUUGAAACUUGAUGGAACCUACUCGCAGGUUGACAUUUUGCAAAGAAAAAAGACAAAAAAUGGGAUUUGUUUGGUCGCUAGUGUUCAAAUACAGUUGCGGAAAAUCUGUUCCGGGAUAAAUCUAUAACGGCAGAUUUUAUACAUUCCGUCGUGAACGGAUUUUACCCAGAGGCAUUCCCCGUCAGAUCCAGCCCAGUAACUUCCAAUACGGAUGACCUGCGACAGCUUCAACUGAAGAAGAAGGACGGUGUUCUUUAGCAAAAUUUUAUGGCAUAGUUCCGGUAUUCCGCGAUUGCUGUUGAUGGCCAGCACUAUGUUUUCAACUUUCUGUGGACCGCUCCUGAAUUAACAAACAGCUGCUGCAGCUUCUGUACUGUAUUGGCCCUCGGACGUACCAGUGAGCAGAGCAUAGUGAAGGAUGUUUUAGCCUAGGUUGGUAGUCUAUCAAUUUUCUUGAUCAAUUCGCAUUUCUCAAACUAUUAGGCCCUUCUCGCCAAGUGUAGGGUCGUGAAUUAAACUGCGGUUUUCUAUCAAACC